AUUUGGGAGGUCGGACAGUGUCAUUAACAUUCCCUGAAGAAACAAAUGAUGAGGAACAUCAGACACCAGCAGAGACCAACAGACUGAACCUCGUGUCCUCCACCGGCCCAGAAUCAUGAGACGACGAUUGGACCAUAGACUGUUGGAAAGGUGGAAGACGUGGUGGCUAUCUGCAGUAAAGGUCAUCAUCCCAACUUCUCCAGGUGGCUGAACCAGCACAUUAUACUCAGAAUCAAAAUCCACAGCAGAAAAGAAAAAGAGGGGAUGAAAGAAUCAGACGUGAGAGGGACGUUUCUGUCAAUGACAAUGGAAUGGUAAAAUCAAGUGGAGAUGUAUAUGGAUAUAUACACAUAUAUACACAUACAUAAACACCACCAGAAUGUAAAAUAACCUGAGAUACUCUUUGCACCUCAUUUCCAGAAAACUGGCCACUGGGUGGAGGAUAUAAAAUGACGAUGGCAUGACAACAACAGUACAACAGCAUCUGACGGCCUUUAGUUUCCACCCCCUUUUAUCAACAUUAGCAGUACAAAAAAAGACAAAAACAAACAGUCAUCGAACCACAAAAAUCCUGAAACAGUAAUAUUAAAAACGUUGUUGUAAUCAGAGUUUCUGAGUUUUUAAAAGGCAUACGAAGAAACAAGCUUUUCAUCAAUAAAGGACAACCGAUAAAAAAUUUGAGAAUCAGAGGUUGAGGAGUCGGGCAGAUGACACGUGUGUGAUAGAAAGUGUUCUGCUCCACACUGUGACUGUAGACAUGAAGCAGCCGACCUGCUAGUUAAUGUACAAGGCUUUUCUCUGCUAUCACUCGGCCGUGGGGGGAUCAAACACCAACUCAAAGCUACAAUCCCACACACACCAUUUCUCCCUCAAAGUUACUGACACGUGACUGUGCUGAUCAUCGGGUUUUGGUAACUCAGGCACCAAACUUCUUUUACUGCUUUAACAGAUCAUCUUAAUUUAACAGCACUUAGCUGAACUGAACAGGUCGAUGUGUUGUUUUCUUAAGCGACCGUGUACAGUGUCAUAUAAUAAACAUUAAACGAUAAGUGCUCUAAAAAGCAAACAUUAAAAAUGGAUGGAAAUUAAAGAAAAAAAAAAGGAAAAAGAUGUAAACAAAUGAUAUUGCUCCACUGAUAUUUUAGGUAAAUCUGGCAGUAUAAUCGAUACCGAUCACAGUAAAUCCUCCCUCUGCCUGUGAUGUGUGUUUACCUAUUAAGGCCUGAGAAGAAUCAUAAAUCUGUCUGUAAGUGCUAUGACUGAGCUACAGCGACAGAUUCCAGCGACUCCUCCUUCCCUUUGACUGUUUUAUGGUGAGUGCGCCGUUAUGCCGAACGAGGAGCGUAAACUUUGUGCGGCUAAAAUUAUUUAGGCAGUAAAUCACAAGAGAAAAAUAAACUUGAAAUGCUUGGAGACCAUUACAAAAAAAAAGAAAAGAACACAACAUUCUCUCGGAACUAAAAUGCUCCCAAAGCAUCAAACUCUGAAUGUUGAUGAUAAACAAUUAUUAUCAAACAGCAAAUUAGGAAUUACACGAUCAACUCGGUCACCAUCAGUAAUAAAUACAGUAUUGUCUGCAUAUAAUUCUUCCAGCCUUGUAUCUGCUCCUCAGAGCCUCAGGAACCUUGUGUGUCUACCACCCAAUUAUUCAACUAUGGAAAUGGGCACGUUAUCUGUUGCUGUGCAUCAGCAAAGCCUUACUCUUUAAUAUCUCUCUGUACAUUAGUAUAUAGUUUUCUUCUCUUUACAGUACAGAAACUCCUCUUCACAUAUUCUUCCGGUUCUUCAUGUCAGCAGGAGCUAUGU